rnacentral:rRNA from 1 species
AUUGAACGCUGGCGGCAGGCCUAACACAUGCAAGUCGAACGAGUGGCGGACGGGUUCGUAAUGUCUGGGAAACUGCCCGAUGGAGGGGGAUAACUACUGGAAACGGUAGCUAAUACCGCAUACCAUCGGAUGUGCCCAGGGGGGAAUAGCUAGUCGGUGGGGUAACGGCUCACCUAGGCGACGAUCCCUAGCUGGUCUGAGAGGAUGACCAUCCACACUGGAACUGAGACACGGUACAGACUCCUAGGGGAGGCAGCAGUGGGGAAUAUUGCACAAGGGGCGCAAGCCUGGUGCAGCGAUGCCGCGGGUAUGAAGAAGGCCUUCGGGCUGUAAAGUACUUUCAGCGGGGAGGCGUUACCCGCAGAAGAAGCACCGGCUAACUCCGUGCCAGCAGCCGCGGUAAUAC